AACGCUAGCUACAGGCUUAACACAUGCAAGUCGAGGGGCAGCAUCAUCAAAGCUUGCUUUGAUGGAUGGCGACCGGCGCACGGGUGAGUAACACGUAUCCAACCUGCCGACAACACUGGGAUAGCCUUUCGAAAGAAAGAUUAAUACCGGAUGGCAUAGUUUUCCCGCAUGGGAUAAUUAUUAAAGAAUUUCGGUUGUCGAUGGGGAUGCGUUCCAUUAGGCAGUUGGCGGGGUAACGGCCCACCAAACCAACGAUGGAUAGGGGUUCUGAGAGGAAGGUCCCCCACAUUGGAACUGAGACACGGUCCAAACUCCUACGGGAGGCAGCAGUGAGGAAUAUUGGUCAAUGGACGAGAGUCUGAACCAGCCAAGUAGCGUGAAGGAUGACUGCCCUAUGGGUUGUAAACUUCUUUUAUACGGGAAUAAAGUUAGCCACGUGUGGUUUUUUGUAUGUACCGUAUGAAUAAGGAUCGGCUAACUCCGUGCCAGCAGCCGCGGUAAUGCGGAGGAUCCGAGCGUUAUCCGGAUUUAUUGGGUUUAAAGGGGGCGUAGGCGGGUUGUUAAGUCAGUUGUGAAAGUUUGCGGCUCAACCGUAAAAUUGCAGUUGAUACUGGCGACCUUGAGUGCAACAGAGGUAGGCGGAAUUCGUGGUGUAGCGGUGAAAUGCUUAGAUAUCACGAAGAACUCCGAUUG
rnacentral:rRNA from 1 species